GUGCCCCUGCUGUGUUUGUGAUGGCAAGAUGGUCUAGAACCUUUAAAGAAUUUGAUCGGGAGUUGUCUCUGUCUGUAGAUGGUAUGUUCUCCUUGUGUGAAUAAUCAGAAGCAGUUACAUGACACCCACCUAGACGUUUAGGUUCAGAUUCAAUUAUGUCACACGGCACAAGCGGGGGACUU
rnacentral:other from 1 species